rnacentral:rRNA from 1 species
AGUGAACGCUGGCGGCAGGCCUAACACAUGCAAGUCGAGCGGCAGCGGGUCGUAGCAAUACGAUGCCGGCGAGCGGCGGACGGGUGAGGAAUACAUCGGAAUCUACCCAGUCGUGGGGGAUAACGUAGGGAAACUUACGCUAAUACCGCAUACGACCUGAGGGUGAAAGCAGGGGACCGCAAGGCCUUGCGCGAUUGGAUGAGCCGAUGUCGGAUUAGCUAGUUGGUGAGGUAAAGGCUCACCAAGGCGACGAUCCGUAGCUGGUCUGAGAGGAUGAUCAGCCACACUGGAACUGAGACACGGUCCAGACUCCUACGGGAGGCAGCAGUGGGGAAUAUUGGACAAUGGGCGCAAGCCUGAUCCAGCCAUGCCGCGUGUGUGAAGAAGGCCUUCGGGUCGUAAAGCACUUUUGUCCGGGAAGAAAUCUUCCGACCUAAUACGUCGGGAGGAUGACGGUACCGGAAGAAUAAGCACCGGCUAACUUCGUGCCAGCCGCCGCAGUAA